rnacentral:lncRNA from 1 species
GUAGACGACUCCGGCCUCCGACAGGGCAGACAUGCGCAUGGCGUUGCGCAUGUAGUCGGUGAAGAUGUAGAAGGUGGCGCAGUAGGGGAUCAGGCCCGACUUGUGCAGGGCAAUGCCGUUGCAGAUGGCGCCCAUGGCGUGCUCACGCACACCGAAGCGCAGGUUGCGCUCGGCAUAGCUGCCCUUCUGGAAGUCGCCAGAGAUCUUCAUCAGGGUCAGGUUGGAGGGGGCCAGGUCGGCCGAGCCACCGAUCAGGCCGGGCAGCGCGGGCGCCAGGGCGUUGAUCAUGGUCUGGCUGUGCUGGCGGGUGGCCAGGCCCUUGUCCUCGGGCUUGAAGUGGGGCAGAGCAGCCUCCCAGUUCUCGGGCAGCUGCGGGCGAGAGGCAAAAGUGAUUAGGCAAAAGCGAGGAGCGGGUAAAUGUCCUGUACAGAUUUGGGACUAGCAGCCCUGAACGGAGUUGGCGGCGCCCACUCCGUUCAGACCCAUAUUGCAUUGAGCUUCCGGGCCAACAGACCCAAAACAGCCUAAUGCAUCAAGAUGCCACCAGGGCCACACACCCACCUUGCAGCUGGUCAGGGCCUCGAACUCAGCCCACUCCUUGGGGUACUUGGCCUUGUACUCGGCGCAGGCCUUGUGCCAGUUGGCCUCCUCCUCGGCACCGCGCUUGAUGGCGCCGCGGAAGACGUCGUACACGUCCUGGGGCACCUCGAACUCGCCGUAGGGCCAGUUCAGGUUCUUGCGGGUGGCGGCGGUCUCAUCGGGGCCCAGGGGGGCGCCGUGCACGUCGUGCGAGUCGGCCUUGUUGGGCGAGCCGUAGCCGAUCAGGGUGGACACCUUGAUCAGAGUGGGCUUGUCCUUGACGGCCUUGGCCUGCAGGGGUGGAGAGAGGGAAUGGGGCGUGGGAAGGUCAGACGAGCUGGUGUGCCUGUGCCCCGGUGCUGCGCUCUGCCCAACUUCUGCACUGCUGUGCUGAUGCGCAACCCUCUUCCCGCGUAACUCCACCAAGCCCUGCCCGUCAUCUCUCAUCGCCUGUCUUUGGACCUGACCUCCCCCAAUCAUCGCCGCCGCAUAAGCUUCACAUCCACACCCACCUGAGCAAUGGCGGCGCGCAGGCCGUCCACGUCGGUGUUGCCGUUGAUCACGUGGAUCACGUGCCAGCCCAGCGCCUCGUAGCGCUUGGCCACGUCCUCGGUGAACGAGAUGUCGGUGUGGCCGUCGAUCGAGAUCUUGUUGUCGUCAUACAGGGCAAUCAGCUUGCCCAGGCCCCAGUGGCCGGCCAGCGAGCAGGCCUCGUUGGAGAUGCCCUCCAUCAUGCAGCCGUCACCCAGGAUGCAGUAGCUGAGGAGCGGAACAGGGAGAGGAGGAUGGAGGGGGCAGGUAGAGAGGGUAGUCAGCGCGGUGGCUGGGAAAGAGCUGGUCAGCGGGCGGCAGCAGCUGACACGCGUGUGCUGUGGCGGGAAAGCUUAUGCAGCUGAAGUGCCCGACCUAAGUGAGUCGACGCCAACCACCGAUGCGGCUGGUCGGGUCGGCCGUCUGCCUCCCGCUGCACACGUGCCCUCGACCCCCGCAGAGCCGUCAACCCACCAAGUCGCAACAUGCUCUCCAGUGUCCGCUGUACAGUCCCCACUGCUUUGAACCCACCCACUCCCUGCUCCCGUCCUCGCAACUGACCCUGUCCAUGUCCCAUUGCCCGCGUCUAGCCCCCCGAAGCUAGCAACCCCGCACAUGCCAAGCAGGACUACGCCGAACAGACGAACUUCACUCACGUGUAGUGGUCCACGAUGGGCUUGACGUCCGGCUUGUUGAAGCGGGCAGCCAGGUGGGCCUCAGCCACGGCCAGGCCGACGGCGUUGCAGAUACCCUGGCCCAGGGGACCUACGGAGCAGGAGUAAACGAGGGGACGGGUCAGGACGAUCAGGUUUUCACAGGGCGGGCGACAGUGCUUCCGCGCACUCUACAAGCCGCACAUCCGGCCGCUGUGCGCUCAGCUGGAGGGUACGGAGUACGGCGUGCUUGCAAGAGAGACGUGGGGCGGGGACAACCCGCACGCUGCAACGUGGGCGGCUCGACCCAGAACGCCUCGUUCUGCCGCAAGAUUGAUAUUUUCUACGCUAUCUCGCCAUGCUAAACCUUAGCUUUGCUGCGCACGUUGAGUACGACCGCAAACGCCAUGCUCAGAGUCGCGAUAAGGCCGACCAAUCCCAUCGGAGUUGCGCUGCGCCGACCGAUGCUGCAGUCACGGUUCUCAUCUUGCUGAUAUACAACGCACAAAACGCGGGCCCAACGUGCUGCAGCGUCGUGAUGAGGCGGCGCCCGCAGGCGCGAAGGUCGCGCUGCAUAAUGGUCGGGCAUCAAAAUGUGCUUUCUGUGCUGAAAAAGAUGCUGGCGUUGUCCAGAUCGCAACGCCUACGCCGGACCCCGAGCAAAACGCUUGAUGGUGCUCACCAGUGGUCACCUCCACGCCGGGAGUCACGAAGUUCUCCGGGUGGCCGGGGGUCAGGGAGUUCCACUGGCGGAACUG